rnacentral:rRNA from 1 species
GACGAACGCUGGCGGCGUGCUUAACACAUGCAAGUCGAACGGUAAGGCCCUUCGGGGUACACGAGUGGCGAACGGGUGAGUAACACGUGGGAGAUCUGCCCUGCACUUCGGGAUAAGCCUGGGAAACUGGGUCUAAUACCGGAUAGGACCACUGCCUGCAUGGGUGGUGGUGGAAAGCUUUUGCGGUGUGGGAUGGGCCCGCGGCCUAUCAGCUUGUUGGUGGGGUAAUGGCCUACCAAGGCGACGACGGGUAGCCGGCCUGAGAGGGUGACCGGCCACACUGGGACUGAGAUACGGCCCAGACUCCGACGGGAGGCAGCAGUGGGGAAUAUUGCACAAUGGGCGCAAGCCUGAUGCAGCGACGCCGCGUGAGGGAUGACGGCCUUCGGGUUGUAAACCUCUUUCAGCACCGACGAAGCGCAAGUGACGGUAGGUGCAGAAGAAGGACCGGCCAACUACGUGCCAGCCGCCGCCGUAA